AGAAACACAAGCAAAACAAAACAAAAUAAUAAAGCAUAGGUACUCCUGCAAUAAUAAUGUAAGUACUCAUGAAAACAUAAGCAACAUAAAUACAGUAGCAUGCAAUAAUGCAAUAAUAACAAACAGUAACUACCAUAUUAACAACCAUAUGGAGACAUAAGCAAAAACACUAAUCACCUAUGGGUAACCCUACUAUCCCACACCCAACCCCGAGAGAUGCGAACGAGGACUCUAGGAGCCCCUAGCUUACAAUCCUGAUUCUAGACCUCCAAACGCCCCUAUCAAGGGUCAUGCCCUCGGUAACCUGCA
rnacentral:lncRNA from 1 species